UACGUAGGGUGCAAGCGUUAAUCGGAAUUACUGGGCGUAAAGCGUGCGCAGGCGGUUGGGCAAGACAGAUGUGAAAUCCCCGGGCUCAACCUGGGAAUGGCAUUUGUGACUGUCCGGCUAGAGUGUGUCAGAGGGGGGUAGAAUUCCACGUGUAGCAGUGAAAUGCGUAGAUAUCGGAAGGAACGCCGGUGGCGAAAGCGAGUCGCUGGAUCUCUUCUGACGCUGAUGCGCGAAAGCCAGGGGAGCAAACGGG
rnacentral:rRNA from 1 species